rnacentral:rRNA from 1 species
GAUGAACGCUGGCGGCGUGCCUAAUACAUGCAAGUCGAGCGAACGGACGAGAAGCUUGCUUCUCUGAUGUUAGCGGCGGACGGGUAAGUAACACGUGGAUAACCUACCUAUAAGACUGGGAUAACUUCGGGAAACCGGAGCUAAUACCGGAUAAUAUUUUGAACCGCAUGGUUCAAAAGUGAAAGACGGUCUUGCUGUCACUUAUAGAUGGAUCCGCGCUGCAUUAGCUAGUUGGUAAGGUAACGGCUUACCAAGGCAACGAUGCAUAGCCGACCUGAGAGGGUGAUCGGCCACACUGGAACUGAGACACGGUCCAGACUCCUACGGGAGGCAGCAGUAGGGAAUCUUCCGCAAUGGGCGAAAGCCUGGCGGAGCAACGCCGCGUGAGUGAUGAAGGUCUUCGGAUCGUAAAACUCUGUUAUUAGGGAAGAACAUAUGUGUAAGUAACUGUGCACAUCUUGACGGUACCGAAUCAGAAAGCCACGGCUAACUACGU